CCUAUUUUGUUUAUUUGAUUGCAUUCAAUGAAAUACAAAUAGUUUUCUGUAAAAAGAUUUCAGUGGUAUUUGAACGGAGAAUGUAUUCAAGGAACUUCAAAUAUGGUUAAAAAACAGAUUGAAGAUACUUCGCUUCACUAACAAUUAUAAUAUUGUUUGUUGUUCGGGAGAACUUAAAAAUUAUAAAUGUUAAUUUUAUUUUUUACUGCAGGUUUAAGAAUUUAAUGGUGUUUUAUAUAUUUUUGGAAUUAACGGUUAAUACGUACGCAUUUUAACUUAUUGUUUCUAAAGAAACAUGGCUACUUAUGUGACAAAAAUUUAACGUGUUAUGUAAACUAUUUUGUAGGCAAUAAAUGCGUAAAGAUACAUUUGUUUAUUUAUCGUUAAUCUUCUGUUAUGUGAAAAAUCAUUCAGUCACGUCGAAUGUCACGAACUCGAAAAUGGGAUUCAAGGAUGUGCCUUAAAAAAUGAAAAAGAAUGGAAUUAAUGGGUUAAGCUUUGAAAGACAAAAUAGCCGCCAUCAUUUCGUAAUCCCAUCAACGCAUUGGAGUUGAAUGGAUAAGCGUAUGAAAGUUCCAUGGAGACACGCAAUAAAAUUUGACCUAGAUAGAAUUAAAUUUUCAUUUUUUUAGAUUGUAUAACAUAUAGAAAUAUAUUACGGAAUUUUCGUG